CUCGCGAAUGGUCGAUCUGUUUUCUCCCCUUGCAGCGCGGGCAACUUGUAAGUCUCCUCUCCUCUCUGGCGAUGGAUAAUCUCCGUUCAUCUUCCUCACAAGAUCUUUUGUUCUGAGUUGUGUCCCCAUUCCAGACCACGAUAUUUCUUGUCCGUUUUUCAUUGACCAGGGUGGUCUAGAAUUCUUUAAACCGUGAUGGAUGAUUCUAUUGGUUUCACUGAUCGAAGAAAUUAGCAGAUCAGGGAGGGAGGUGUUGAUUUUGUGCUAUCCUACCAAGUUUCACAGAAAAUUAUGUAAAGAACUCUGACUCGCCCAUUUGCAGUUUACUGUAGCACCGAGCUAGAUUCUAUAUCUAGAAUUCAUCAAGAAACUAUCCAAACUGUUAGGAUCUUCUAAGUAAAUCCAAACUCUUAUGUAUGACUAGUGUCAAGAUGCAUGUUAUGCAAAUCAAAUAUGAUCAUAAUAUCUUGAACAUGUUAUUUUUUAGAUCAUUUACUUUUGGGCUAACAUUUUUGUUAGAGAUCAU